GAAGCGGCAACAGCUCAAAUUUGAAAUCUGGCUCCUUUGGGGUCCGAGUUGUAAUUUGCAGAGGGAGCUUUUGGCGUCGGUCGUGGUCUAAGUUCCUUGGAACAGGACGUCACAGAGGGUGAGAAUCCCGUACGUGGCCGCCGGCCUUCGCCUUGUAAAGCCCCUUCGACGAGUCGAGUUGUUUGGGAAUGCAGCUCUAAAUGGGAGGUAAAUUUCUUCUAAAGCUAAAUACCCGCCAGAGACCGAUAGCGCACAAGUAGAGUGAUCGAAAGAUGAAAAGCACUUUGGAAAGAGAGUGAAAAAGCACGUGAAAUUGUUGAAAGGGAAGCGCUUGCAGCCAGACGUGCCCGCGGUUGAUCAUCCAGGCUCCAGCCUGGUGCACUCCUCCGCGGGCAGGCCAGCAUCAGUUCGGGCGGUCGGAUAAAGGCCUCUAUCACGUACCACCCCUCGGGGUGGCCUUAUAGGGGAGGCGCAACACGGCCAGCCCGGACUGAGGUUCCGCGCAUCUGCUAGGAUGCUGGCGUAAUGGCGGCAAGCGGCCCGUCUUGAAACACGGACCAAGGAGUCUAACAUCUAUGCGAGUGUUUGGGUGUCAAGCCCGAGCGCGUAAUGAAAGUGAACGGAGGUGGGAACCCUCACGGGUGCACCAUCGACCGAUCCUGAUGUCUUCGGAUGGAUUUGAGUAAGAGCAUAGCUGUUGGGACCCGAAAGAUGGUGAACUAUGCCUGAAUAGGGUGAAGCCAGAGGAAACUCUGGUGGAGGCUCGCAGCGGUUCUGACGUGCAAAUCGAUCGUCAAAUUUGGGCAU
rnacentral:rRNA from 1 species